UAUUUGUGGGCGCAGAAAAUGUCCCACGCGCGCGCGGGACAUAUGGCGCGAUAUACUCAAAUCUACGACAAACAAAUAUAUAUGUAGAUUUGACAAUGUCUUUCUACAAAGAGUUGAAUAAUUUGAGCACGGCCGACUUUUAUGAAUGCAAUUCAACAUCGAGAUCAUCUAAAAGAAAGGCAACGAGGGCUUCAAGGGAAUUAUUCGAAGUUGAGAGAGUGAUUUCGCGCAGAAUUCAACAAGGGAAGCCAAAGUAUUAUGUGAAAUGGCGAAAUUUCUCCAGCUUACAAAAUAGCUGGGAGCCAGAGGAAAAUUUGAAUACUGCCGCAUUAAGAGCUUUUGAAAACCCAGCAUUGUACAUGCCUGAUGAAAUCAUUCAGGAUGCAAGAGAUGCCUUAGCUUGUGGUAUAUUGGAGCAACUUAAGUCCAGAAGUGUACUACCCACUGUCAUCCCCUUUCGCCAUGAUGUUUUCAGAUACUUUUUCGGUGGAAAGGGAGAAAAAAGCAAUGAAAGAGGUGCUGUGCUGCUACACAAGUCUGAUUUUCAGGCUUGUAAUUUUCCAAAUAAUUGGGACAGAGUAAUGGAUAGCAUGGGGGAUGGCUUAGCAGUUGACUUUCCCAUUAAGUUUAGACCAUUUCUGUCAUGGAGCCCAAAGACAUAUCUUCUUAGGGAUGGGCAAGUUAUUCCUAGCCCAAGAUAUCGCCCUGAGAAAUUAAGUAUCUCUAUGUGUAAGAUAGCAUUAUAAUUAUAUUAUUAACACCUAUUUGUACAUGCAUGAACACAAUCAAUGAAAGUGAUUACCUAACAACAACUUAACCCUUUUUUGCCAAAACAGCCACAACUCUUAGAAAUUCUCAAAAGAGAUCUCAUUUUGGUUAAUUAAGUUAUUUACAUAUUUAUUUCAUUAGAAAUAGACAUGGGGAAUUAGAUAUUCUUGCUCAAUUGACCUUGCUAUUAGACAAAAGCAUUAAAUUAUGCAACAAAACAAGGCUUGUCUUGGCAGAGAAUGGCUCUCUUUGUUCGCUGACUGCCGUGUAAUUCCCACUGCCUGGAUUCUAAUUGGAGGAUGUCUGAUGCUGGGUUUUUAUUGUUUGAUUUGCGCAAAACGACACUCCUUGCC
rnacentral:misc_RNA from 1 species